UGGAGGUUGAGGCCAAAAAAGCUCACUGGAAAGAAUCACAUUUGGACAUCCAUUGGUGGUUACGAGAUAAAAGGGUUGGCUUUCUCAACAAUAAACCCGAACUGCAUCUAUAUUCAAGGGGUUGAUUAUGAGGUUUUCAUGAUUUAAAGUUUUAAGCCAUGGAAAAUCAAGCUCCUUUAAUUAUACCAAUGCUGUUAACACUUUGGUUAUUCCAAGAUAUGGAGCAAGUGGAGACUAAUCCUUCUUGUACUGACUUAGCAUAUGAGAAGGCUAUUUCAGAUGGUGUGGAUGUUCUUGACUGUCCUGUUUAAAUGUCCAAGGAUGGAAUACGUUUUUGCUUAAGCUAUAUUGAUCUUAUUGGGCUGUAAAGUAUUUAUUAUUAUCUGUGCAAUUUUCUGUUGUUGCUUUCAUCUCUAAAUUGUACUAAUGUAUCGUGUUGUGCAUGGCAGAGGCAGAACUCCUUACAGCUCCACCAAGUUGGUACAAAUCCUCUGCUCAAUCACUUUGACAUGAAUGGCACGAUCCAUUCACAAAUACAGUGUGCUCCUUCGUCAUCUUUUUCUAUCUGCUUACAUCCUAUAGGGGUAUGUUCUGUUUCAAAAUCAUUGCUAAUUGUGUUUAGUACCAGUUGUCUGCUCAAACAUGCUGACGGACUCCUUGUUACUCUCUGCUUAAGGUUUGAAGGAGUUGUAGAGUUUCCUUGAG